UGAACGCUGGCGGCGUGCUUAACACAUGCAAGUCGACCGAAGCAUUUAAGACAGAUUACUUCGGUUUGAAGUCUUUUAUGACUGAGUGGCGGACGGGUGAGUAACGCGUGGGUAACCUGCCUCAUACAGGGGGGUAGCAGCUGGAAACGGCUGGUAAUACCGCAUAAGCGCACAGUACCACAUGGUACAGUGUGAAAAACUCCGGUGGUAUGAGAUGGACCCGCGUCUGAUUAGCUUGUUGGCGGGGUAACGGCCCACCAAGGCGACGAUCAGUAGCCGACCUGAGAGGGUGACCGGCCACAUUGGGACUGAGACACGGCCCAGACUCCUACGGGAGGCAGCAGUGGGGAAUAUUGCACAAUGGAGGAAACUCUGAUGCAGCGACGCCGCGUGAGUGAAGAAGUAGUUCGCUAUGUAAAGCUCUAUCAGCAGGGAAGAUAGUGACGGUACCUGACUAAGAAGCUCCGGCUAAAUACGUG
rnacentral:rRNA from 1 species